ensembl:lncRNA
CUCCUGGAGAGGCUGUGGGUUCGUGGCAUCCGCGCAGCGGCCGCAAGUGUAGCAGGUUUCGUACCCGGUGUUCAUCGCCGUUAAGUCAUCGCUGCUACCACCCAGGCGCGGCUCUAUCCCGCCGCUCCCUCUACCCUCUCGGCACUGCCAGCAGUAAGAAUUUUUGCUACGACACUCUCUUCAGCAGGAGACCCGGCCCAGCAUCUUCUUGAGCUCCUCCUUGAGGUGGAUGGGCAGCUGCAGGUGGCACAGGAUGAUGUGCAUCUUUUCACACGCCGCAUUGCCUGCUCGCUCGCUCCAAGAUCGCUGGCUCCAAGAUCUCGCCUGUCAGGUUCUCCAGCACCGCUGCCAGGUGAUGGCUGUCAGGAAUUGUGGUGCUUGUGAAGUGAUAAACUGAGCCCUUUGGAUUCCAUGAAGUUAUUAAAGAAUAUAGUUUUCAAAUCACGGCAAAAUCGUGAUUUCAGCAACACGCCAAGAUGAAUCAUUGUUUUCAUGGACAACUGUGGGAGGCACUUUGGGUCCCUAUAUCCUGGAGCAUUAGCCCAGCAUGGCCUCGUGCGUACUGGGACUUACACAUACGCACAAACCUGCCCAUCUUGGCCACUGUUAACACGUGCCAUUAACUUCGUGAAACCAUGUCUGACCUAGGGAAGAUAUUCUUGAAAAACGGAUUAGAGUUUGCCAGAUCCUAUGAGUGCGUGACCUCAGAAGAGAAGAGGAGGGGACACUCCAAUGAUAAAGGUUGAAAGGAGCAGAGCCAGUUGGCCAUGGACUGAAACUUUCAGAGCUGAUUCAGAGGAGUUAAUGUUGCCAUGACUAUCUCAGAAGGAGACAUGGACAGAGGAACAGGUAUCUCACUCCCGUAGGUAAGUGAUUGUUGACUCUGGGAGAAAUAUUUUCUCGGCGUCCAGGCCUGUAAUGCCACCCCUUGAGUCUGAGCCAGGAGGAUCCACGGAGGGCAGCAUAGCAGAACUUCAAAACAAAGAAAGGGACAAAAAAGGGAUAACUUUUUUGUCCCUUUUUUCUUUUGGUGUUGUGUGGUUUUGUGGCACUCAGUAGCUUUUCUAAAACUAUGCUAGCCUUACAUUUCUGGGAAAACUCCCUACUUUCCAAGGAUUCUGAAUUCAGUUUGUUAAGUUUGCUGUUCUAUACUUUGUUUUGUUUAAUUCAUUAGUGUGUUUUAUUUGUAGAUUCAAAUCGAAUUUCGGUGGGGUGGGGAAUGGUUGACAGUGUCAUUUUUGGAUGGAACUAUUAAUGGUUUUUGCCUGUUUCAAUCUAAGAUCUCGAACAUAUGUCAUGCCAUUCAGUGUGCUUUAAUGGCAUUAUUUUACAAUGGACACAGUAUCCUACUAUAUGAUUAUAGGACAGUAAUUUACAUUUCUCUAGACUCAUCUCAGUUACUGUCUCCCUUCUACCUCUUCUCCUGUGCUGGAGAUAGAAUUUAAGACCGUUACAAGCGAGGCUGUACCCAUAGUCCAACUGCUCUUACCUGUAUUGACAUAAAGCUAGGUACAGUGAUUAUCUCCCAAAAUUGGGUGAAGUGUAAGCCUGUCUAGGAAAUAUGAGAGUGGCCAUAUUUCUACAUUGAUACCAGUAUAGGUUUUUAAAUAUUCACCAAUCAUAAGCUGAAUGUAGUGGCUCACAUCUGUAAUCCCAGCACUGGAAAGGCUGAGGAUGGAAUAUUGCUAUAACAUGGACGCUAGCAUACUAGGCUGUCUGAUCCUAUGAUCCAAAAUGCAGAAACAAGGAAAGAGAAACAUUUUGUUACUGGUUAUGAAAGCAGAACAUAAUCUCCUUUACUGUUUUUACUUUGUGUUUCCUUGAUUGCUAAUUAAAUAAAACAGGUAAAAGUGUUUCUUGGCUCUUAUUUUGAGUUUUCCUCCAUUUGAUUUUUAAAAAUAUUUUUGUUUGUAUCUGUGAAUGACUGAGUGCAAAUGCUCACAAGUGUUUAGAUAGCAGAGCAUAUGUUUUAAGAGUUGAUUUUCUCCUUCUGUCUUUUUUUUAAUUUACUCAUUUAUUAUAUAUAAGUACACUGUAGCUAUCUUCAGACACACCAGAAGAGGGCAUCGGAUCUCUUUACAGAUGGUGUGAGCCACCAUGUGGUUGCUGGGAAUUGAACUCAGGACCUCUGGAAGAGCAGUCGGGUGCCCUUAACCGCUGAGCCAUCUCUCCAGCCCUCUCCUUCUGUCUUAUUGAGAGUUUCUCUUGUUUCUCCAGCUACACUGUCUCUACUCCAAGCUUGCUAGUGCUCCUUUUCCAGGCUAGUUUGCCUGGGAGCUUCAAGGCAAUUUUGUCCGGGUACUGGGGUUACAGAUGAAUCCCAGCAAGUCAAUCUUUUUACAUGGCUAGCCCGUUUACCCGCUGAGCCAUGCCCUUGGCCUUUCUUUCUUUCUUUUUUUUUUUUAAGAUUUAUUUAUUUAUUAUAUACACUGCUGUUGUUCUCAGACACACCAGAAGAAGGCAUCAGAUCUCAUUACAGAUGGUUGUGAGCCACCAUGUGGUUGCUGGGAUUUGAACUCAGGACCCCUGGAAAAGCAGUCAGUGCUCUUAACCACUGAGCCGUCUCUCCAGCCCGCCCUUGGCCUUUCUUUACUGACUUUGCAGUGUGUGCUCUCACGGAUAAGGAAAUCAGAGUUCAUUUUCUGUUUGGUUGGAUUCUUUGUGAAUUUGGUUUCUUUGGUUGUUUUGUGAGACAGGGUAUCACAGGCUAGGGUGUCUUGGAUCUCACUGUACUGCAGAGUGCUCACAAACUCAGCACUUCUUGUUUUAGGAUUAAGGUCGAACCACUAGGCUUGGCCUCUACUUGCUUUUAUUAUCUUCUGUUUCAGAUAUUUUGUCUGCCUAUCCUACAAAUACUUAUGUAGCUUAACUGUAUUUAAGAAUGCUUAAGCAUUCUUUUCUUUGUGACACUCAGAAUUUUUGUUGGUUUCUUUGUUCUUCUUUGACAUGGUGUUUUCCGCUGUAGUCAAGUCCAUCCUCGAACUCAGAAUCCUCCUGCUUUACCAUAACCUCCAGGAACUAGGAUUACAGGCAUGUGUCACCAAUAUGCUUAAUUUGUACUUACUUUUCAUGAGAGUAACAUAAGUAUAAUUUCCUAUAGUUUAUAACGAUCUUUUUAGCAGCAGGACCUCAGUGUACACUGGGCAAACGGGCUACUAACUUAGGUAUAUGCAUAGCCGUCACAAAGUUUUUAUCAUAACUUGCCUUCUGUGCACACUGGGCUUGUAAAUGCUACCAAAGUAAGUAGCAGUCUACCAUUGAGCUGGAUAAUUUCCUUCUCUAUUUUUUAACACUUUGUUUUUGCAUGUCAGUGAAUUGCCUAGGCAAUGAUUAAACUCAACUCACUCCUCUAUAGCCUGUGCAGUCUUGAACUUGUGAUGCUCCUGACUUAGGUUCAAUUCCACACCCCAAUGCCUGCAAUUAUAAAUGUGUGCCAUGAUUUGUGACGUAUUUUGUGCAUGCAAUUUAUAUUUUUUAAAUUUAUAUGUACUAGUGGCUUGGCUACAUAUGUAUGUAUGUAUGUGUAUACCUCAUGUAUGCUUGUAUUGAAUUCCUUAGAACUGGAGCUCCAGGUGGUUGUGAGCCUCCAGGUGGGUGCUGGGGUCACCUCCUCUUGCCAGUGCUCUUCCCCGCUCACCCUCAUCUGAACCCUACUGUAGUUGGUAUGUUCAUGUCAGCACAUUCAGGGCUGGGGUCAGGGAUGCUGCCAAGAGGAUCUGUGAAGGUCCCCUAGUACUGAGUUCCCAGUGUUCACUUCUAACAGGAUAUAAAGAAAGUCCCGGGGUUGGGGAUUUAGCUCAGCGGUAGAGCGCUUGCAAGGCCCUGGGUUCGGUCCCCAGCUCCGGAAAAAAAAAAAAAAAAAGAAACAAAGAAAGUCCCUCUUUGAGUAUCAGCCCGGCUUUGCUAACACUGGCGUUAGGUUCUAGAGUUUUUUGAGUUUUCAUAUUGGGUAUGACAGUUUAGAUUUAAUGGAUUGUAUGGGUUCUGCUGUUGUAGCAUGAACACCAAUACAGGCAAUACAUAGAUGUGAGGUUGACACAAUUUGAUAAAAAGUGAGUGAGCUGUAUUUGUGUCCAGACUACAAAUUGCCUGUACCUGCUUUAUUACAUCUUGCUCUUAAUACCCUCUGUUUCUUUUUCAAAUGUCUGUGCAUCUGAUCGUCUGCUAUAACCUUUUAUACGAUUCAUUUCUUUUCUCUGCAUGGCUGCUUUGCCUGUGUUGGCAAGUGUACAGUACCCGCCGAUGCUAGAAGAUACCUAAAACUGGAGUUAUACAACCUGGGUCCUAGCUAAGAACGGGAAGUGCUCUUAACUGCACUCUCUCCAGCCUCUCCUUUCUAAAUUGCUGGGAGAUUUUUUUUCUUUAAAUUGUUACCUGUUUUCUUUGAGGCUCUGGCUCUGUAGCCCAGGCCUGGAACUCCCUAUGUUUGACUUCCAAGCUGCAGUGAUUCUCAGGACUCCAGAAGAAUUAGGACUCAACUGCAAUAUGCUUUUAUCUCUUCCGUUGAUUCACUCCAGGGGUUUUUGUUUUGUUUUGUUUUUUGUUUUUGCUGAUGACCUGUUUCCAUGUCAGGUUUUUGUUUUGUUGUGUUUUAUUUUUUCAGUGAACAACCAUAUUAGCUUACCUAGACGCUUCCUCUUUCAUUAGCUCUCGUGCUGAGCUGUGAAAGUGAUUCAUUAUUUUAGUAUCAUUCCAAGUUGCUGCAUUCCUUUUGUCCUAGCUUACAGUGAUAAAAUAUUAACCAAAUCCACGUGAGGAAGGAACGAGCCAAGGCAAGAACCUGGAGGUAGGGAAUGAGGAGAGCACGAACCAAUUCUAACUGGCUUCAUCCCAUGCAUUGCUCAGCUUUCUUUCUCAUACAGCUAGGCCUCCUGCCGAGAAGUGGCACUUACCACAGGCCAAUAUAAUGGAGACACUUCUUCAGUUAAGGGUCCGCUUCCCAGGUAUGAUGAAAAGCAAAAUUAGCUGUCACACCAUUUGAAGAGGGUUCUUCUCGACCAUAUUUCAUUGGAGGAGCAGGCUGAAGUUUCUGGAGCUUGUCUCUAGUGUAGUAUCAUGACUGCUGCAGCUUCUAUCUGGUCCUCUCUGCAUGUCACCUUGCUUCUGCUGUAUACUGGUGCCCUCAUAAUGUAGCUUUUCCCUCCGAUUGACUUAAUUUUAUUUUUACUCCUACCUACCCUGAGCUUUUGUGGUCUGUGGGCAUGGCCUUCUUGCUCCUGCGUCUUUCCCUAUGUAGACUGUGUGCUGUGGCUCUCAGUGCCCCAGUAUUGUCAGUUGUUAAGUCUCAUUCCUCUUGGCUGUUACAUUCCUGAGAAUGGAGGUGCAGCAGAUCCUCCUAGGACGGUUUCUACCAUUGCUCGUUAUGUGUGAAUGGAUUUUCUCUUUAUGUGUAAGUCGAAAUUGCUUCAGCCCAAAACAAUCAAGCUAAUGGAAAUACAAUCAGUUUUAUUCAAUUACUGUAAAACAUUAAAGGCAACCUAACCCUGGAGUGGUUAUCAUAUCACACUAUCUUCGGACCUUGCCCAUCACACAGAUAAUUCUGAAACCUCAUUCUCUUAGCAUUCAUUGUCUUGCUUUCUCCCUGCUGCUACCGGACUUCCUCAUUCUGUUUACCUACUGUGCAUGAAUGGAUUCUGUUUUCGCAAAGCUCUUGAAUCUCCUUUGCACAUUGGUUCAUGACUUGAGUUUAGGUCUUUUAUGAUUAUUCCAUGGGCUUUAGUAUUUUCUUUCAUAUUUCCAUUUACCCCAUUAGCUGGUUUUUGUUUCUCUGUUUUGUUGUUGUUUUUCUAUUUUAUUUUUGAAACAUAGCAUCCUGUGGCUGACAUCAAAGUUACUAUGGAAACUGAGUCUAGUCUCCCAGUUCUAAUCAUGAUAUCUCUGCCUCCCAAACAUGAGAAUAUAUGUAUACACUACCAUACCUAAUUUGUUUGUAUUUAUUUGUUUAAUGGAGCUGGGGAUUGGACCAAAGGUCUCACACAUAGCAGACAAGUUUUCUACCCCUGAGCUAUAUUCCAAGUCCUUGUUUUUUGAAAUUUUAAAUUAUAUAAAAUUCUGUCACUUUGUCCUUGUUUGAGGAAAAUUUCUGAGGCAUGACAAACCUUAGGCUCUUGACCGGCCUAUGGAUACAUGUCCUUGAAUCUGAUCUUUUUUGUGGUGGUGCUCAGGUUGGGGGGGGGGAUCUGAAGCUGGCUUGGGAGACGCUAGAAUACUGGUUUUAUUGUUUUUUGAAGUUUCAUUAGAUUUUGAAUUGAACAUGGGGAGCACAGAUACUGUUUAUUGAAUUUUGAAUAGGUUUAAAUCUGAUUGAUUGGACUGAUUUAAAACUUCAUGUUGCAGUAACUUGCAGGUCUCUCAAAGACCUGCUUUCUAGUGGGCAGAAGUUGUUUUGUUUGGAAUAGUUUUUUCCUAGGCUAAUCUUACAUUCAUCGUAGCCCUAGCUAGCCCUGCUCUCCUAAGUACUGGCAUGCGGCCAUUAUAGACAUGUACUACCAUCUGUUACAGGGAAAGACAGAGCAAAACUUCCUCCAUCUUGUAUUCUUGCUGCCGCCAUUUCAGGUUUAAGUAGAAUGUCAUCCUCAAAUAGAGAAUCCUAUGGAAAUCCUUGGAAGCCAAGGUCAGAAUGUCCUUGCUGACUUAUUCUCACUUCUCUUUAAUUGCCUAUUUGUGCAGGAGCCCCUCCAGCAAACUACUUAUCUCAGUUUCCCUAAACUGCCUGCAAAUGCAGAAGAACACCCUCCAGGUAACUGCUUAUCUUAGUGACGGGUAGGCUAAAGUGCUUUCUUCCUGUGACACCUCCCUCCUCCCCCAACUGCCAACUGACAUGCCAGAAUAUGUUUUUGACCUUCAAAACCCUUGAGCUCUGGACACUCACUGUUCCUAGGUUCCCAAAUACUUAGGUAUAGACCCAGCCAGUGGGAUUGCAGACUUCCAAUUGACUAUAGACUGAGUGGUCAUUUCUGCUCACCCUGUUUGCUUUCUUCAUUCCUCUUCCUCCCUUCUUCCCUGGCAAAAUCUAGGGUGCUAUUUUUCUUUAAAUGUUCUUCUGGGAUAUCAGGAAAUGAGUCAUGCUUUUCCGCUGAGGACUGUAGCUCAGCUGCUGAAGUACCUGCCUGGUAUCUGAAGGCCUCCAAUUCAUCCAACAGUUUGGGUUACGGGUAGCAAAUAACAGGACAGGAAUGUUAUAGAGGGUCUGUCUUUUCCUUUGCUGUCCCUCUUCCCGUUCUGUCUUGUUUUCUAUUUCUCUUUCUAAGGCCUCUUUGCAUAUCCCUGUCUGGCCUGGAACUUGCUCUCUAACUCCUGCUACUCUGUCAUUCUGCCCCUGAUUUUUGGGAGCUGUAUGCCACUGUGCACACCUUCAUGGCUAUGGCUUACCAAAUUGUCAGAAAAAAAAGAAUUCUUUUAUAUCUAAUUCUUUAAACCAUGCUCCUACUGGGAGACUGGUCUGUUUUGUUUGGUUUUCUUUCUCUCUUCCUUCCUUUCUUUCUUUCUUUCUUUUUCUUUCUUUCGUUUGAGUCUUACUCUAACUCAGGCUGAUCUGAAACUCAGAAUAAUCCAGCUGCUUCUGACUCCUGAGGGUUGGGAUUACAGACAUGAGCCAUGUUUUUCUUCUAAAGAUUUAUUCAUUUAUUCUAUAUAAGUACACUGUAGCUGUCUUCAGACACACCAGAAGAGGGCAACAGAUCCCAUUACAGAUGGUUGUGAGCCACCAUGUGGUUGCUGGGAUUUGAACUCAGGACCCCUGGAAGAGCAUUCAGUGCUCUUAACCGCUGAGCCAUCUCUCCAGCCCCAUGUUAUUCUUUUUGCAUUGGAUUCCUAUAAUAACCUCCAUAGUAAUAUAAAGUAUUUUGGCCCUCUUGGCAUAGGGGGCUAACGGUGACUGGGAUAACAACAUGCAGUUCCAGGUGUAAGGGGAGCUGGAUAUGGUAGCAUCACUUAGGAAUGGGAAUUUGCACUGGAGACACUCUAGGAAAUGGAGCAGCAGAAUGUUGAUGCUAUGGCCUGUACCAUUCAUAUAUUACCUAGAUGAGCUACCUUGUCUCUGUGCUUAGUGUUUGUGUUUUAUGUCUUCUGUUAGGUUCCAGUUUUGUUUUUUUCCUAGUUCAUAGCUUUUUAUGGCUUCAUCAUUUCCUUAUGUUUUGCUUGCUUGUGCUUCCUAUUAGUUUUAGCCCUUUGUGUUGCGUGCUGACUUUCAAUGAAUGUAUCCUUCUCCUUGACCUCCCUUUACUGAUUCCUGUGAAUAACCCAGUUCCAGUAACUGAGAACUCUUUGCUAGACCUGUCCGGUUGCAGGUUAACGAGAACAGUUUGUAGAUCUUGGUGUUAUGUUUUUUGGUUAAUAUGAUGUUGCGUCUGCCUUUACUCUGCUUAUUUCUUAUGGUUUCUAACGUAUGGUUAACAACUGACUUCUUCCAUCCUCUGUUUCAGGGGUUUCAGUUGCAAAUGCCUGCAGGAUCCAGAUGUGUGAGAUGGUCCUGGUAUUCUCUCUCUUUUCUUUCUCAUGAAAAGCUGGGUUUUUGUUGUGUUUUUCCUUUGCUGUUCUUUAAUUUAUCAUAGAGAUUACUGGAUGCCAAGGGUCAAGUGUUGGAUCUAAGAGGAUGGGAGAGUAUUUGAGACCCCGAUCAAUUUAAUGUGCAAAAUGAAUCUAAAGAGAAAGGCUAAUAUUUGCUGCUGUUAAUUGUCUGGAAAUGUGGAUCCAGGAUUGCCAGGACUUCCGGUUCACUACAAGGGAAACUUGUAACUUCAAGGUUUUUGUUGCUUUGCAUGCCUCUAGACAAUAGAAUAUGUUCCUAAAUGCUUUAAGAAUCGUACAAUCUGUCUAUUUGCAGUUGUGUUACUGCGAUGUUAACUGUAUUCUUAUACUGUUAACCAAGGGUAUGUGGAACACUUCCUGUUUCACUUAGCUGAGCCCUGACAGUUUCCUUUGGGCAGAGUUUAGAACUGGACCACAAUUUGAAUACAUCUGUGUAAGUUAGGAUGAAAUAAUCUAGGGAAAAUAUAGAUUUUUAUACAUAUAGAAAAACAGAAGAAGAACUGCUGGUUGUUUAGGGAGCUUGUCCCAGCUCAGCUAGCCGAGAUUAUAAGCAUUUGCCAUCAUGCCAGGCAAAGUCUUGAGGUUUUUGUUUUUUAAUGUUCUUCUGAAAUAACAGACAGGAGGUCUAAAUUUCCAGAGAGGAAUUGUUUUAAUUAUUAGAGUAUUUGGCCACUAUAUUUUCCUUUGGGUCAAUCUAACACAAUGGGGGAUAAAUAAGAAAAGAUACAUCUUACAGGCUGUUUCCACUGAGUCCAAGCCACAGUAGGGCCAUUUUAAAGCGACAUUUAGAAUGUAUCACAUUGUAUAGUAAGCUGUUUUCCUUUUAUGUUACUUACCCAGUUAGAGCUUUUAACUUUCUUUGGCGUCUAUGUGUGCGUGUGGUGCAUAUACAUAUUUGUUUCCUGUGGGGGGUGUUUAUUGAUUACCAGUUGUCUUCCUCAGAUAAUUAACAACUUAUAUUGAAGCAGAGUCUCUCAGUGAGGAUCCCUAGUCCGAGCUUUUAAGCACAGGGAUUGUUAGUGCACGUUCAUGUCCACCCUAAGUGGCAUUCAGCUUGUGCUGGGGAUCCUGACCUGAGCUCUUAAAUUUUACCAGUAAAUACUUAGCAAACUGAGCCCCCUCUUCCGCCCCAAGUUGCCCUCUCCCUCCACUUCUUUAUUAGAGGGGAGAGGGAUGGAGAGGAUGCAGUGUGAGAUAAGAACGUGCACAUGUGUGAAUGCUUGACCUGUGUGUGCAUGUGUGGAAGGGCCGCAGCAGGCUCCUGGAGAUUCUGCUGGACAUAGAGUCUAUUCUCUCUCCCAUCUGUGUCCUUGUGAUUGAGCUCCAGUUGUCAGCAUUGUGACUGGUGCAUUUACCUGCUGAGCCAUGUUACUGUUACCCAAGUUUAUUGGUUUUGGGGUGUUUUUCGUCCCUUCUGCUGCUAGGGAAGGAACUCAGGACCAUGUGCUAAGCAUGUGCUAGGCAGAAACAGUCUAUUAUUGACAGAGCUACAUGCAUUGAGGACUACUGGGAAUUAAACCUUUUGAGCUAUGCCCUUUAAGUUUCCCAUGAUGCCCCUUAUGCGCCUGCCUCAGCCAUCUGAGUAGCUGGAGUUAUGGGCCUACACUCUCAGUCCACUCCCUAGUCCUUUUUAUUAUGACAGGCUCACAUCAGGCUGGUUUAGAACACAAUCCUGCUGUCUCUUCAGAAGGCUAAGAUUACAGGUUUGUCAGAUCUGAAUCAAUUCAGUAAUUUUAAAUGCAUGCUAUUUACAAGAGUUUACCUAGAAGUUGAUCAUCAGUUGUCUCAUAGAUAGUAAAGGAUAGGGAAGUUUGAGAAAUUCAUCAAUCUUUUACUCUCCCUCAAAAAGUUUUCUCAUUCAUAACUAAAUCCAUUGUAUGUAGCCUCUGAUUUGGGGCUCAGUGUCUCUGGGUAGAUUUCUAGGUUGCCAUGGUGUUGAAGUCUUGUGGCAGUGAUCCUAAGCUGUUUUAGCUGCCUUUUGCCUUGAGCUUUUCAUAUUACUUGGUGUCUAAUUUUUCCUUAUUAUGCACACAAGUCCUGGUUUGUUUUUGUAAUUAACUCUUAAAGGUUAUAUCUCUGGCUGCUUCCUUCUGAAUGUCAACAGUUGACUCUCACACCCUCAUGUGGCUGCUAAAGAUGUCCCAGUUUCCGGCAGCAGGGAGACAGAGUGUGAUCUCUAUCCACUUAGAGAAUGCUAUGCCAGUAAAGCUUCGUUCUUGAAUUUCAGGGUGAGCCUGGUGAAGCAAAGGUAGUUAGCUUAUUAAGUAAAGGCAGAGAAGUGGGGAAAGGACAAGGACAGUACACAGUCUCAAGGCUCCUUGAGAGUUGAAGUUAAAUUAUGUACAUCUACAUAGAUGGUCCCUGGCUUUUUAAACUGUGUCACAAAGGAUUACAACAAGAAUUAGUUGAGUUUUCAUGUUUAAAAUUUUAAUAAUUAUUUGAGCAGGUUUACUUAUUUUACAUCUUUGAGAAUUUUAUUUGUGUAUAUGAGUACAUUGUCACUGUCUUCAGACACAGCAGAAGAAGGCAUCAGAUCCCAUUACAGUUGGUCGUGAGCCACCAUGUGGUUGCUGGGAUUUGAACUCAGGACCUCUGGAAAAGCAGUCAGUGCUCUUAACCGCUGAGCCAUUUCUCCAGCCCAGAGGAGUUUCUAUGAGUGUGGCUUAAGGUGAGCCCACCUUCCUGAGUGAUUGUCCCUUGGCAAAGCGCAUGACCCAGCCCAACGUGAUUAAUUUGUAAGGGAGGAAACAAUGGCAUGGCUGCACCCAGAGGUAAAUUCCAUUCUUUCUGCUGGUAGAUAAGAGACUUCCAUUAAUGUGCCUUCAAUACUACUGCCGUAACAUCUCUCCUAUUGUUUUCUUUAUACUUUAUAGACAAGUCAUCCAACUAGUGAAGGUCGAAAUUUGCUCAAAGAGUGCCUUCUCUGAGUACAAUCAGACAGUAGCCUGCCAUGCUAGUGCUUUUGUCUUUGCUUUCCAUAUACUUUCUUUUCUGUUUGUUUGGCUUUUGCUUUUCAAUUUCACCCUCAAUCUUUGUCAUUCAUUUUCCAAUUUAAAGUUUCCCUUGCCAAUGAGACUCCUUUUAUUUGCAUUUUGAUUGAUUAUUUACUAGCUGGAGGCUCCCUGCACUUGGUGAAAGGGUAGAGUUCCCCCUUCCUUUUUUUUUUUCCAGAGCUAAGGACCAAACCCAGGGCCUUGUGCUUGCUAGGCAAGCGCUCUACCACUGAGCUAAAUCCCCAGCCCCGGUUUUGUCUUUGGAACUUUGUAGAUAGUCUUGGUGUUUUUUGUAUUUUCCCAGUGAUCAGUCUUUCCUAAUAACUUACAGUGCAAUCACACUUGCAAAUGGUACUCUUAACAUGAGGCUUUUCCCAAACUGUAGUAUAUUGACUUCUGAAUAGAGAAGUCUCCGCUAAAGGAGCACAGUUUGUUUGCUUACACAUUUAAAAAAUUAGAAUUUGUUUGUGUGUAGGGAACAUGUACAUCGGGCUUGGAGAGUAAGUUGAUAGCUCUCAGUUCUCUUCACCAAACUGGAUCCAACUUGGCAGUGUGCAUCUUUACCCAAUGAACAAACUUACCCGCCAAGUGUUUUUAAAACAAUAUGACCAUAGCCUUGGUUUGCUGACUAAAGUGCCCCUGUGUUGCAGCUGUCAUAAGAAGCGUUGCUCCUUGCUUUUUGGCUAGAUUACCUCUCAACUUUUUCUUCUCGGGAUUGCCUCUUAGUCUACUACAGAUCCACAGAGACAACAAAGGUUCUUGUGAGACGCAUGCUAUCAGUCAGGCCCUGCCUUGUCUGUGUUUUUUUCCAGGCCCAGUGCCCCAGCUCUAGGUUUUCAACCUCCCUUUAACUAUUUUGGGUUUUCUCUUUCCUUAUGGCAGUGGGUCUCAACCUGUGAGUCUUGACCCUUUAGCUGUUGCCUACAAACAUUGGAAAUAAUAAAUUUAUAAUAGAAAAAUCACACGCUUAAAAUACCAAUGAGAAUCUUUUUAUGGUUGUGGGGGUCACCGCAACAUGAGGAACUCUCUUAAAGGGUCACAGCAUUGGAAGGGUUGAGAGCUACUGCUCCAUGGAAACUUAAGGAAGUUAUUCUGCCACAAAAGUCACGUGGAUUAACCAUGGCUCAAGCCAUUCCAAAUAUGAGACUUGAUAAUUUUUACUCUGCCACUUGAUCUUUUUAAUGUGCUGUCACAGGAAAACGUGAGCAGAAUCUAAGAGAUUCCUUUAAUUACAAGGUACAAAUGUCUGCUUGGUGUUAGAUUUGCAAAGGAGGCAACUACUGGCUCUUUGGAAACUGUGCUCUAUGCGUCUUUAGAAAAUCUGUAUCCUUUAUGCCCGCUGCUAGCCCCAGAGCCUUAAGACAAGGGUAAGUCAUUUGAGAGAAGGAAUACAGAUCCUUAUAUUAAAGGUGUAUUCAUUGGGCCCUGUUGAUUUUUUUUUUUUUUUUAAUGUGUGAAGGUUAAAAUGUGUUAGUCAGGCUCCUUUCCUACUGUGGGAUGGUGAGCUGAUUCAAAAGGAAAGAAAGUACAUCACCCCUCUCAUAUUUUAAUAGCUUGGUUUGUCAUCUCUUAAGAAGCAAAUGGAAAUCCUAGGAAUAUAAUAGGAAAUCUUAUAGAUAUGGGUGAUACAUUUAAUAUCGAACAUUUAAACAACAGAUAUAAAUGCAGCCAUUAGAAGCCAUCUGCUUCAACAGCUUUAAGAAAAAGUAGCCAAGCCCAGACUGUUGUAGACAUUUAGCACAGGCCAACCUAGGAAGUGUUGUGAAGUGUUAGCCAUGACCCACAGCCUAGCAACAUGACUAAGCACUUACUUUUUUUCUCUUUACGCAUAAGGAUAUUACUUUUUAAGUUAAUGUAUGAUGGUAUUCCUUUGUCAGAGCAUCGGCAGAGAAAAAUCAUAUGCUAACAAAACCAGUACCUUGGGUUUUUUUCCCUAGAGUAAAAUACUAUGUAAAGAAACUCAUUAUAACCUGGGUGUCCUGGUGACAUUACAACUUUCUUAAGAAACUACAGAAGUUUCCUCAGGUUUUCUGCAGUUUUCACUAGAGUAAGUAAAUUCCAAGCAAUCUAUGCUAGGAGACAUUAUAACAACUUCGUUUUUUGAAUGAUUUAUUUUAUUUAUUCAAUAUAAGUACACUGUAGCUGUCAUCAGACACACCAGAAGAGGGCAUCAGAUCUCAUUACAGUAGAUAGUUGUGAGCCACCAUGUGGUUACUGGGAAUUGAGCUCAGGACCUCUGGAAGGGCAGUCAGUGCUCUUAACGGCAGAGCCAUCUCUCCAGCCCCAAAUUGGGACUUUAUAUGUGGACAUUAUCAUGUCCAAAUGUGGGGGUUUGUUCCCAACAAUGAUACUGUGCACAUUAAUCUGUAGAGUGUUAAUGAAAGACUUGUAAUGAAGACAAGAAAGAAUAGCUCGUCCUCAGGCGAUGAGUGAGCCUGACUGUAGUAGUGUUCUUUGUCUACCAAGAAGAGUAAAUGUUUUUCAUGCUGUCGUGUGUAAUGGCUGCACACCAUGUUCAGUUCUGAGCUUGGAGAUGAGGUACUUACAUAUGACGAUUUUUUACUGUCCUCAGUGCUUUCCCUUGCACUUGCUCAAAUCCAGUAUCGCUACAUAUGAAAAGCAUUCAGGAGAACGGUUUGUUUGGAUUUGAGAAUUAGAAGUAACAGUUAUGGAAGAAGGAGAGAGAGAACCGAUUCAACCUUUGUGUGUGGGUGUGAGUGUGUGGGCGCUCACACACACGUGCGCAUCUGCACUCACAUAUCACACACUUAAAUUAAUGAAGGAUAAUGGUACAUUCACGAUCCCUCUCUUCCCGUCACUGAGGCAGGUAGAUUGCUGCCUUCAUAAUUUUUGAAUUCAGAUUCUAGCACAUGAAAUAAUGCCUCAGUAAUGUUUAGGUGCCCGGUUAUUGACAUAAAAUAUUUUUUUCAUUACAACUAAUGAGUAAUCAGAAUUGUCCAAUACCAUGUAUAAUUUGACAAAGGUCAAGUCGCUUGCAAAUGCAAAACCCUUAUCAUUUUAUCACAAAAUGCAAAGCAGUCCUUAAAAUUUUGGGAUUCCUAAGUGGCACUGCCUAGCUUCUAAGGAUUUGUUAUCUAGGAAGGUCAGAUACAAUUCUCUUUGAUAUGCAAUGUCCUUGACCUUUUAGAAAUGCCUGUUCCUGCAGAGAUAAACCUCAGGUUCUUAUCUUUUACAAAUGAGCAAGGCUACGGUAGUAAUAACCCUAAAACCAACAUCAUUUGCUUGUCGACCGGUGAUUUGCCGAUGUGGUUUAAUACUUGUGUUCUAAGCUAUGUUCCAUUUUGCCUAUUAGUUUAUUGUGUAAGGUCAUCUACUGAUAUACUGAAUCACACUAUCAAGCUUUUAACAAUUGUUAGAUAGACUGAGUUCAAAUGUACAGCUAAGCUUUGUUAGUAGUUUCUCAUUAUUGGCAUUGGAAUAAUUUGACUGCUUUUAAGAGUGUUAUUAUUACCAACACCCUUUUAUGGUAAUUGUGGGACUGUUUUUCUUGUUCAUGGUAACGUAUAUGCUCUGUGUUACUGCACAGUAAGUGUGUCUUUAUGGAACGCUGUAGUAGGAUAACUCGGAAAAAUAUACGAGUCCAAAAAGUAUGUGAGGCUGUGACUUUAACCUGAUACUUCCUGCAAUAAAUAAAGUCUAUGAAAGUUAUGUUUCAUACAAAAAAGAGGAUAGCAGAAUACUGUUCAUGUGCUCUGUUUUCUCAAUGAUUUCACAUGUGUUGCUAACCUUUGAGUCCAAAAUAUUUUUUAUGAAUUGUUAGUGUUAGUUUUGCUUAUGUUCACUAACAAUCUCUUAACGAUAUGUAAGAGUUAAGUUCAUAAGAAUAGUGAAAUAUGAGAUUUAGACAGUCACACACACCCAGUGGGCUUUAUUUAAUGCCAAAUCUGUGCCAAAGAGUUCUACCAAAACUGAACAUGUGCCAAGAUCCAGAUACUUAGUUAGUGAACAGAGUUCCAGAGUGUGCUGAUUACAUGCUUAAAACUGAGUUGUUGUUGUUAUUGUUGUUUAUAUUUUUAAUGUUGUUAUUGGGUGGUUUGUUCAUUUUGGAUUUUUGUUUUCAGUUGUUGUUUCUCCCAAUCAGGAUAGUGAGGGGAAUUUUAUUAGGUGCUCAUUUCUUUAGCCAAGCUGACAUGACAGUGACUGUUGUCCCUUUGUAACCACCAGGUGUCUUGGUAAGGGGAAACUGCCUUUAUUACUCCAAAUAGCUGGCUUUCUUCAACUUUGAGCUUGGUUUUGGGACUUGGGUUGGUGGUGGACUGUUUUAUUCAAUAUUUUUAUAGAUAAAUGCUAUGUACUUCAUUUUUUCAUCUCUGCUUCCUGCUCGGGAGGGGAACAUCAUACCCUUGGGGUCUGGAGUGUGAUAGAGGAGGGCACCUGACUUCUUAUCUUGCUAUUCAGAAAUGUUCAGGAGAAGUUGGAACGCCUGCCUUUAAUCCCAUCACUCCAACCGCAGAGGCUGACGGAUAUGUGAGGUCAAGGACAGAUUGAUCUACAGAGCUAGUUCUAGGACAACCUGGGCUACACAGGAAAAUGCUGUCUCAUAAAGAGAACCAAAAAGCAACAAGUAGUCCGUGUAUCCUAGGCCCAUGGGUUUUUUGUCACUGCAGCAAGUAGUCGUGCUAGAAUAGAAGACAAGUGAUUGAGGCUGUGAGACCGAUGCUAUGCUGUUUAUCCUUCAUGUGCAUAUUGAGUGCUCUGUAGUGGCCUGAUUCCAUUUAUCCUACUACUGAGGUGUGUAUGUGGCACAAGAACCAGCUCAUUGUCUUAUUGAAAACCCAUCAAAAAUAAUUUGUUUCUCCUUACAAUUUUGUAGGGCGUUACAUUUUCAAUAUCUUGGACUGUGUCACCUUACUCUCAUGAAUUUAACUUUCUCUUUUUUUUUUUGCUUUCAUAAAUUUUUUUAUUAGAAGAUGAACAGUAGCUCCCUAAUCAGGAAAAUCGACUUUACGCUUUAACCUCUUCAGUUUGCCAGUGAAACUUUGAUUUCACUCCUUUUCAUGUUCCCAUUUAAUGAUCACUACCACAGCCUUCUGAGGCAUCCCAGAGAGGUUUUAUAGGCAGUUAUCUAACAGCAAAGCACACGUAUAAGAAUUUGUUGCAUCAGGAACGCUACUCUAAUUAUAUAUCUAAUUUCUAUGUAGAAAACAAACUGAGAAACCCUGCCUAUCUGGGACAUAGCUUUUAGGAGACCAUUGCUGUUCUGUGCUCGAUUGCUCAAUGGUAGAGCACUUCCCUGGCAUGUGUGUUGCACAGGGUUUAAUCUCACACACAGCAAAAGGAAUAUUAUUCAUUUCUACCUGCACAUUUGUUUUUGGAAUAGCUAACUAUGAAAAUUGCAACUAGUACUUUAUAAACGUAAUCUGUAUAAUGGGACUAUCCCAUCAGGGUUACUUUCCCUUUGUGUACCUUAAAGUAAUCCAAGGCCAGCCUUAUCUACAAAGCCAGUUCCUGAACAGCCAGGGCCACCUAGUCUCAAUUGGGGGGGAAAAAGAAUGAAAAAGAAGAUUGAUACUCUCUUACUGUGUUAGGUAAUGUAUCAUUUUCACAAACUUCAAUUGAUGGUAAUGAAGGAUUUAGGUUUCAGGAACAGAUUGUCAGAGAAAUUUGUAUCCAGACAUCCUUAUUGGCCUUGAAUUCAUUUAGAGGCAUUUUUGCUCCUUCUCUAAAUGGCGUACAUUGCCAGUUGUGUUUAGUUCAGUCUGGGUGGGAGUCAGGCUCCCCACACUCGAGCUACUGUUCAUCUUCUAAUUAGCUUAGAGAAAUGACAACACAAUGUCAUUUUUAAACCUUUAACAGUGUGAAUCUAGAUAGAAUUAAGUGUCUUCUGUUUCAAGUUGCUUAUUACCCUAUAAUUUUAAACCCCCAGCCCAAGACUAUUGAUAACACUGUCAAGAGGUGGCUUUGGAUUCAGAACCUCUGAAUUAACUGAUUUAGAGCCUUCAGGGCUUUUUCAGAACCUCUUUCCCUCUCAGAUCACUUUUUCAUGUUGACCUAGAUGUUUUUCUACAGUUCAGGUCAUUUACUAUUAGUAUCCAGUUCUCUCAGUAGUCAGGAUAGUGAAUUAGCUACAGAUCUAUGUAACUAGCAGUUACAUAGAUCAGUACAGAAAUUUGGCUUAUAUACUCUUGAGGGACAAUAUGUACAAAAUGGUCUAUGGUUUAGAGGAAAAAUUGUUUCCUAUGUCUAAAGAUGACAGACAUCCAGGUCUAUGUGUUAAACCUUAAAGACUGACUGGAGUCACUAAGAAAUUUGGGAUGGCAUACCUAGAGGAGAGUUUGACAGGUAAGGAUUUUUCUGUCCAGCAUAGCUGCCAUCCUCUUCUUCCCUAGAUGUCUGGUUUCUUCUCAGUAGAAGACAUUAAAUCCUUGAGUAGCCAUAUCUAGGAAAUGCUGAUCCUCAGUGAGACAGGGAUAGCAGCGAUGCUAUGGUCUGCCCUAUCCUUCUCAUCCGAAAAUAUUCUAUUUUCACAGGCAGGCUUUCUCCAGAAUUUCAUUGUUCUUCCAAAUAACAUGUGAAGUCUUUUGAAGUAUUUAGACACUAAAAUGUUUAUUACUUUACUUUGAAAUAUUAAAUAUGUUUAAUAUUUAUUCUUGUUUUUCUGAUCUCAAAGCAUUAUAAAACAAAGUAUGUUGGCACAUGCCUAGGAUCCCAGCAUUUAAGGCGCUUAUACAGGAACACCGUCUUGACUUUUAGGCCGGUCUGAGUUUCUUAAGAACAAAAUCCAUGAAGAUAUUUUCUGUGUAGACCUUUACUGUUGAUCUUUACUAUUCAAAUAAUGCAUUAAUACCGAGUAUGUUUUUAUUUAAUAAUCUCACUAACUUGGAGGACAUCAAGGGAAGACUUUGAAAGGGAAGCUCUAAUGUGGCCAUGCAAACAGUGACUGUAGGGUUUGGGCCUUGUCCAUUAGCUAGCCUGUUCGAUUAUUUCACUAAAUACUAGCUUACUUAUGGUUCCUGUUAAUGUUGGAGCUGACAAUGCCAUGAAUUAAUAGAAGAAAGUUAAUUACUAUUAUAACUUUUGAAUGGUCAAUGGUGUGUGGGGAGGGGUCAUGGACGGUUUCAAUGAGCCACGAUUAUGAAGUGAGUCCAUGCAGGAAACUAGAUGAUUCUUCUGUUCAUGCUCUUGAUUAGUAAGCUGUUGCCUUUCUUCUUUGUUCUAAGUUAAAAGCUGUUGAACAGUUGUGUUAUAGCUGAAUAAAGGUUUUUGUAUAAAUACAGAAAAUUCUUUUUGUGAACUGGUCACAGCUGACCUGAAGCUCAAUUUUAACUAGGAACUAGCUAUGUUAAUCCCUUAGUUCUUGCGACAGUCAACGCAGGAGAGCAAGAACCAACAGAUGACCUUGGUGAUCAGGAAAACUUCAUGGAUCCCGACAGCAGCGUGGAGUGGUGUUCCUCUGAAGAAAUCCUACUCGGAUGGAUAUAAUACAACCUGCUAAGUGUUCUAGCACUUAGCACGUUGUAUUAUUAUUGUCCGAGGCUAUGGCUCUCGUCUAUCAGAAUAAAUCCGUAAGGGCAAGGAUGGUGACUUUGUAUUCACAGUACCUAAUCCGGUGCACACUGUAGGCCUCAUUAAAUGUUUGUUGAAUGAAAAAAUGAAUCAUCAACAGACAUUAAUUGGGCGCCUGCUCUGUGAUCUCCAUGAGCUCAGCUUCUUCCUGCCGAUGGCCUUCAACGUCCAAGCUCUCUACAGCGUGCUUGCUUCCGAAGUUCAUUUCUGUACUCUGUGUAGUGUAAUGAUAGUGGAUAUAUUUUAUCUUUUGAAUCAAUUCCAACUUACUGAUAAUGUAUAUGUCUCAACUGUGUUUUAUGAAAAGUAUUCCAAAGCUGGUUCUUUUCUAUACUGACGGUGUGAAAGCGAUAGUAGCCACAAGUGUAAUGUUUUCUAUGAAAUACUGCAUCUGUCUGCCUGUCUUCUGGAAUUGCCUGCUUGUACUGUUGCAUAGCUGCUGUUGUUACUAUAUAAUUGCUACCAAUUACUCCCUAGGUUGGACCACUGAUCAUUGAGUAGGAGCUUCAUCUUUAAAAUUUGGGGUGUGCAGUUAUGAACUGGAAAAGGCUGCAUCGUGAAUGAAAACACAGUGCAGAGUGGGACCCGUGUUGCUCUCUGGAUAGAACAACAAGAGUGGCGCCCCAAGAAGAUGGAGAGUGACGUUUUGGGAGUUUCCCAUUGGAGCAAAACAUUUUCUUACUGUGUAGUCCUGAGUGGCCUGGAAGUUGCUGUCUACACAAGCUGACCUUAAACUCACAGCGAUCUGUUUCAGCCUCCUAACUGUUGGGAUUGGAGGCGUGAGCCACGUGCCUGACCUGGAUUAUUUUAUGAAGCCAUUUUAUAAGUGCCAAGGACUUAUGCCUACUUUUAUUAUUCAUGUGAGAACAUUUAUGUGCCAUUUAAACAUUUUACUACAUUAAUGUUAUAACUUUGGAAAUUCUAGUCAAGGAAAGAGCUACAGGUCAGGGUUUCAAGCACAUAAUUUUCUAUACAUUAUAUUUAGUUACAACUUAAAGAUGGGGGUUGGGGAUUUAGCUCAGUGGUAGAGCACUUGCCGAGCAAGCACA